CCUACGGGUGGCAGCAGUGAGGAAUAUUGGUCAAUGGACGAGAGUCUGAACCAGCCAAGUAGCGUGAAGGAUGACUGCCCUAUGGGUUGUAAACUUCUUUUAUAUGGGAAUAAAAUGUUCCACGUGUGGGAUUUUGUAUGUACCAUAUGAAUAAGGAUCGGCUAACUCCGUGCCAGCAGCCGCGGUAAUCCGGAGGAUCCGAGCGUUUUCCGGAUUUAUUGGGUUUAAAGGGAGCGUAGGUGGUUUGUUAAGUCAGUUGUGAAAGUUUGCGGCUCAACCAUAAAAUUGCAGUUGAAACUGGCAGUCUUGAGUACAGUAGAGGUAGGCGGAAUUCGUGGUGUAGCGGUGAAAUGCUUAGAUAUCACGAAGAACUCCGAUUGCGAAGGCAGUUCACUGGACUGCAACUGACACUGAGGCUCGAAAGUGUGGGUAUCAAACAGGAUUAGAUACCCCUGUAGUC
rnacentral:rRNA from 1 species